GUGUGUUCCAGGUAAAUCCGGUUCACUUUAACACUGAGGCGUGAUGACGAGGCACUACGGUGCUGAAGCAACAAAUGCCCUGCUUCCAGGAAAAGCCUCUAAGCAUCAGGUAACACGAAAUCGUACCCCAAACCGACACAGGUGGUCAGGUAGAGAAUACCAAGGCGCUUGAGAGAACUCGGGUGAAGGAACUAGGCAAAAUGGUGCCGUAACUUCGGGAGAAGGCACGCUGACACGUAGGUGAAGUGAUUUACUCAUGGAGCUGAAGUCAGUCGAAGAUACCAGCUGGCUGCAACUGUUUAUUAAAAACACAGCACUGUGCAAACACGAAAGUGGACGUAUACGGUGUGACGCCUGCCCGGUGCCGGAAGGUUAAUUGAUGGGGUCAGCGCAAGCGAAGCUCCUGAUCGAAGCCCCGGUAAACGGCGGCCGUAACUAUAACGGUCCUAAGGUAGCGAAAUUCCUUGUCGGGUAAGUUCCGACCUGCACGAAUGGCGUAAUGAUGGCCAGGCUGUCUCCACCCGAGACUCAGUGAAAUUGAACUCGCUGUGAAGAUGCAGUGUACCCGCGGCAAGACGGAAAGACCCCGUGAACCUUUACUAUAGCUUGACACUGAACAUUGAGCCUUGAUGUGUAGGAUAGGUGGGAGGCUUUGAAGUGUGGACGCCAGUCUGCAUGGAGCCGACCUUGAAAUACCACCCUUUAAUGUUUGAUGUUCUAACGUGGACCCGUUACCCGGGUUGCGGACAGUGUCUGGUGGGUAGUUUGACUGGGGCGGUCUCCUCCUAAAGAGUAACGGAGGAGCACGAAGGUUGGCUAAUCCUGGUCGGACAUCAGGAGGUUAGUGCAAUGGCAUAAGCCAGCUUGACUGCGAGCGUGACGGCGCGAGCAGGUGCGAAAGCAGGUCAUAGUGAUCCGGUGGUUCUGAAUGGAAGGGCCAUCGCUCAACGGAUAAAAGGUACUCCGGGGAUAACAGGCUGAUACCGCCCAAGAGUUCAUAUCGACGGCGGUGUUUGGCACCUCGAUGUCGGCUCAUCACAUCCUGGGGCUGAAGUAGGUCCCAAGGGUAUGGCUGUUCGCCAUUUAAAGUGGUACGCGAGCUGGGUUUAGAACGUCGUGAGACAGUUCGGUCCCUAUCUGCCGUGGGCGCUGGAGAACUGAGGGGGGCUGCUCCUAGUACGAGAGGACCGGAGUGGACGCAUCACUGGUGUUCGGGUUGUCAUGCCAAUGGCACUGCCCGGUAGCUAAAUGCGGAAGAGAUAAGUGCUGAAAGCAUCUAAGCACGAAACUUGCCCCGA
rnacentral:rRNA from 1 species